GGCUAUGCCUGCCGUAGUGCAACGUAUAAUCUGGAUGGUCGGGUCAGGUACACCUAGGAAAUGUUGUAUACAUUGGCAACGAUAACUGGGGCCUGUUCCAGUGCCAUCGCCGGGAUUCCCUGUUCUGCAAAGAACUGACAUAACUGAUGUGGGGAGCCCUGGCGCUCGGUGUAGGAGUAUCACAGGGGCUCCUUGUCGAUGCUUGAAGGACGGCAAUGCUGUUGAGAAGCCGACAUUGAGCCCCGAUAAAUUGGAAGCUGUGGGUAGUUACCGCAUUAUUGACUUGGAAACCAGUGAGGUCUGGAUGCAAGUGAAGCUACCGAGGGAGGCAUGUGUGCAUCACUUGUGCUGCUGGCCAUCCUCUGCAAAAGUGAUGGCUGGCAGUCAGUGCUUGGAUGACUUUCUGUUACUCUACGCCUUGGGCUGUGUUGACUACUUCACACUUGCUGCCAUGUCUGCAAGCUUAGGCAAAAAGACCGGCUGGAUGCUUGGCAGGAGAUAGUAUCCAACCGCAGUGUUACUGUGUUGUGUUUUACAUUACAAAGUGAUGGAGGACAGUAUUUGUGCUGUUAUUAAGAAGUAUAAAUUGUGUUCUGCCAUUGAAAUAAGGGAACUCGACACAAAGCAAAAGAUUUCGAAGUCUGACCUACAUGGGAAAGCAAAAUAUAUUGUGUUGUAGUUGUAGCUGUUAGUAGAGUCUUAAUAUGCGAUAGAAGACCUUGAUGUUUAAUAGAAAAUAUAUUUAAGUGUGUUAUCAGUGUGUUAUCAGUGUUUAAGUUACUGUUAUGUGUCAUUUGUUUGCCAGGAUGAUGUAAGCAGACAGUAAAUAAAUGCAUGGUUUGAGAUUAUAACCAGGUUUGUCUAUGGCAUUCACUAUUAUUUAAGGUGGACCAAUGCAUAUUCAUGGGUGCAUAUUCAACCACCACAUUCCUCCUGCACAAACAAUUCCUACAUACUAGCGUUUGGUCUUAGCAGCUGAUGUUGGCUAUUAUACAAUUUCUUGAAAGCACAUGCAGCUACCGACACAUGAUUUUUAGAGCAGUAAGUCGGAAGCAAAGACUGAUUUUUUUCUGUGGUCUAAGCUUAAAUGAUAUGUUUAAGGAAAGGAACAUUUGUGGAAUAUAUUUACUUUCCUGCUGCGAGAACCUUUAUACGAGAACCUCUGCACAUUGGACGUGCAUGCUGCUUCUCUUGCUGUUAUAGCCAAAAUGAAAAAUUGUUCUUAUGAACCACUUCGCAGCUUUGCAUUGUGCACUUUUACUUGCAGUUAGCAUUUAUAUGCUGUGCUAUGGACAACAGCAAGACAAGUCAGGCAAACCACCAUGUGAAACACUUUAAAGAUUCUGCCUUAGGGCGCGUUGGUACUAUAUAUAGUGCAAGACAGAUGAGCUGCCCGUACAGCAGCGCUGUCAGCAUUACACGGCUGACAGCACCGCAAACCCUUAAAUUUAUAUUUGUUUGACAGAUAAUGCAUUCUAGUAGUUUUCAUGUCGUAUAUGC